rnacentral:lncRNA from 1 species
GUGCGCACAACAUAAAAUAGUGUGCGUUAAAUUCUUUGACCUUACACAUGGUACGGGGUUCAAUGUCUCCUUUUUAAAGUGACAGAAUGGAGAAAUGCAUAAGGUUUUCUUUUGAAAUGGGGCUAGAUUACAUGGAAAUACUCUAGCAAAAAAUCAUCAGUGCAUUUGUAUCGACUCCUGACAUGACUACUGAAUAAAUUACGUUUAUUUCG